GUGGAUGUAGCUCAGGGGCACAGAGCCUGCCUGGCAAGCAGGAGACCCUGAGUUCGAUUCCCAGUAGCCAGA
rnacentral:tRNA from 1 species